rnacentral:misc_RNA from 1 species
CCCUUAGGUUGAGAAUAAUGUCAACGAAUUCUUUGUUGCUCUUCUAAUGGUCUCUAAUGGAUCUUAUUUACUUGCAAUUGUUUUGGGGACCCUCGUAAUCAAUGCCAAGAUCUGGGCUUUGAGUCACCUUGGCGAUGAUGACAGCCAUUUUUUGAUAUGAAUUAGAAUUUGGUUAUUUGGUUCAUCAUCUAGAUUCUGUUGGGGCCUGGGGAUUUGCCAAUGAACACCCUCUUCUGCUCUCAGUGCUAUGAAUGUUCAUGUUCUAGAUGAUGCCAAAGAAUCGUUUUAAAAAUUUU